rnacentral:rRNA from 1 species
GAUGAACGCUGGCGGCGUGCCUAAUACGUGCAAGUCGAGCGAACGGACGAGAAGCUUGCUUCUCUGAUGUUAGCGGCGGACGGGUGAGUAACACGUGGAUAACCUACCUAUAAGACUGGGAUAACUUCGGGAAACCGUAGCUAAUACCGGAUAAUAUUUUGAACCGCAUGGUUCAAAAGUGAAAGACGGUCUUGCUGUCACUUAUAGAUGGAUCCGCGCUGCAUUAGCUAGUUGGUAAGGUAACGGCUUACCAAGGCAACGAUGCAUAGCCGACCUGAGAGGGUGAUCGGCCACACUGGAACUGAGACACGGUCCAGACUCCUACGGGAGGCAGCAGUAGGGAAUCUUCCGCAAUGGGCGAAAGCCUGACGGAGCAACGCCGCGUGAGUGAUGAAGGUCUUCGGAUCGUAAAACUCUGUUAUUAGGGAAGAACAUAUGUGUAAGUAACUGUGCACAUCUUGACGGUACCUAAUCAGAAAGCCACGGCAAACUACGUG